UUACAUGGUAAUGUACAUCAUAUAUUUUUUUAGUUUUAUCAUUCUCUUAUUUUAGAAGUUACAGGGGUGGGGGGGGACACACAUUUUACCACUUUGGAAGUGUCUCUCGCGCAAACUAUUCAGUUUAGAAAAAAAUGAUAUUAGAAACCUCAAUAUCAUUUUUGAAGACCUAUCCAUAGAUACCCCACACGUAUGGGUUUGAUGAAAAAAAAUUUGAGUUUCAGGGAUUUAUGAUGUAUUAAAAAAAACUACUCACUAGAUCUCGUUCAAACCAAUUUUCGGUGGAAGUUUGCAUGAUAAUGUACAUCAUAUAUUUUUUUUAGUUUUAUAAUUGUCUUACUUUAGAAGUUACAGGGGGGGGGACACAUUUUACCACUUUGGAAGUGUCUCUCGCGCAAACUAUUCAGGUUAGAAAAAAAUGAUAUUAGAAACCUCAAUAUCAUUUUUGAAGACCUAUCCAUAAAUACCCCACACGUUUGGGUUUGAUGAAAAA